AAUUCAGAGUUUAAACCAUUAUCUUUAAUGCUCUUUGAUACACUAUGUCAAAUAUGGCACUUAUUGGUACUAGAAUUACCCUAUUUUUACAGUUGAUUUUUGAGCUUCAUAAUAUGUACAUUUCCCAUUAGGUUAAAAAAGCCACUGAAAUCAUUGAUCAGCUGCAAGAUAAGUUACCUGGAAGUUCAGCAGAGAAAUCCUCCAAAGCAGAACUCUUGGACUUUCUUGAGUACUAUGACACAUGUGUGCUGGAGCUGGACCAGCAACAGCUGGCCUUGGGGAUGCUGCAGCAAAGAGCACUGAGCAUGCUCCAGGAUGGAGCCCUCCUCGAUGGAGAAGAGCCACCCAUCCUGCAGGAAAUCACCACUAUGCAAGAUCGGUGCCUCAACAUGCAAGAGAAAGUGAAGAGUAAUGGAAAGUUGGUAAAGCAAGAGCUGCAGGAGCGAGAAGUGGUAGAAACUCAAAUUAAUUCUGUGAAAUCUUGGGUUCAAGAGACAAAGGAAUAUUUAGGGAAUCCAACAAUCGAAAUAGAUGCUCAACUUGAAGAACUGCAGAUCCUCCUGACAGAAGCCACAAAUCAUAGACAGAACAUUGAGAGGAUGGCUGAAGAACAGAAGACUAAGUACUUGGGUCUUUAUACUAUAUUGCCUUCGGAGAUCUCCCUCCAGUUAGCAGAAGUGGCAUUGGACCUGAAGAUCUAUGAUCAGAUCCAAGAAAAAGUAAAAGAAAUUGAGCAGAGCAAGACCAUGAGCCAGGAAUUCGGCCGGCAAAUUCAGAAAAUAGCCAAAGAUCUCACUAUGAUUUUAACGAAGCUGAAAACAAAAACUGAUAAUUUAGUUCAAGCUAAAACUGAUCAAAAGGUAAGGAGGAAAGAGUCAACUUUUGGGAGGGAUAAAUUAAAAAAAAAACCUCUCGGCACACUUCACUAAGACCCAGCAGUAAAAGUAGGUAGUAAAGAAAUUCAUGAAUGUGCUGGUAGUAGCAUAAGCCCA
rnacentral:lncRNA from 1 species